rnacentral:rRNA from 1 species
ACGGCUCACCAAGCGACGAUCAGUAGCCGGCCUGAGAGGGUGAACGGCCACACUGGGACUGAGACACGGCCCAGACUCCUACGGGAGGCAGCAGUGGGGAAUUUUCCGCAAUGGGCGAAAGCCUGACGGAGCAAUGCCGCGUGAAUGAAGAAGGCUUCGGGUUGUAAAAUUCUGUCCUAAGGGAAGAAUGUAUGAUAUGUGAACAAUGUAUCGUAAUGACGGUACUUUAGGAGGAAGCCCCGGCUAACUACGUGCCAGCAGCCGCGGUAAUACGUAGGGGGCAAGCGUUGUCCGGAAUUACUGGGCAUAAAGCGCGVGUAGGSGGWUAAUUAAGUCAGUUGUGAAAACUCUGGGNUCAACCGAGAGCAUGCAUCUGAAACUGGUUAUCUUGAGUGUAGAAGAGGAGAGUGGAAUUCCUAGUGUAGCGGUGAAAUGCGUAGAUAUUAGGAGGAACACCAGUGGCGAAGGCGACUCUCUGGUBUAUAACUGACGCUGAGGCGCGAAA